GAAAAACAGGUGCCUGUGUUAAAAGUCAGGUGAAGUAAAAAGAGAAUUAGAUUAGGUGUCUUAGUCUGUUUAGUGUUGCUAUAAAGGAAUACCUGAGGCUGGGUAAUUUAUAAAGAAAAGAGGUUUAUUUGGCUCACGGUUCUGCAGACUGUACAAGAAGCAUGGCACCAGCAUCUGCUUCUGAUGAGAGCCUCAGGCUGCUUCCACUCAUGGCAGAAGGAGAAGGGGAGCCAGUGUAUGCAGAGAUCACAUGGUGAGAGAGGAAGUAAGAGAGAGAAGGGAGAUGCCAGGAUCUUUUUAACAAUCAGCUUUCUCAGGAAAGAACAGAGUGAGAACUCAGUCACUCUCACUCUCCAGGGAGGACAUUAAUCUAUUCAUGAGGGGUCUGCCCCCAUGACCCAAACACCCCCCAUUAGGCCCUACCUCCAACACUGAGGAUUAAAUUUCAACAUGAGAUUUGGAGGGGUCAAACAUACACACUAUAGCACUAAACUCUAAUUUGAAAGGGAAUACACUUUCAAGACUAAAAUACAUUUUCUUUUUUUUUUUUUUUUUUUUUUUUUUGAGAUGGAGUCUUGCUCUGUCGCCCAGGCUGGAGUGCAGUGGCGUGAUCUCAGCUCACUGGAAUCUCCACCUCCUGGGUUCACACCAUUCUCCUGCUUCAGCCUCCGAACAGCUGGGACUACAGGCACCCGCCACCAUGUCGGCUAAUUUUUUGUAUUUUUAGUAGAGAUGGGGUUUCACCAUGUUAGCCAGAAUGGACUCGAUCUCCUGACCUCGUGAUCCACUCGCCUCAGCCUCCCACAGUGCUGGGAUUACAGGCGUGAGCCACCGCGCCUGGCCUGACUAAAAUACAUUUUCAAGACUAAAAGCUAAGAACAAAGAUUUAGAGAUUUGAUACAGCAUUUGUAGAGAGGGCUUUUAGAGUGAUCUCAACCUGAUGUAACUGGCUGUGAAAUGUAAUUCUUCCAGGAUGAAAGGUGAAGAUCAGUAUGCAUACAUGUAUUUAUCUACAGUAUAUACACAUAAUACAUAGUAAAGAAUUAAGCUUCAGUAACCUGUAAAAUUUGCCUAAGUAGAAUACUGAUUUUGCAGAGAUAUGGGCUAAGUAAGAUACUAUCCUACACAUAAACACACGCAGAUGAUAGAAUGAAGUUAAAAACUGUUUCCAUUCUUCUUCUACACCUUAUAUAUUCAUGUCUAUAACAGCCCAUAACACACUGUUUACAUGUCUGACUUGCCCAACAGACUGUGAAGUCCUUAAGUCUAGCAGGGUGCUACAUUCAUUUAUUAUUCAGUAAAUAAAUGUUGAGCCAAACUGAAGUUACAGGAGAGAAGCAGAAAUCAUCAUGGAUUCACACAAGAGUGGGAGGGAUUUUUUUUUUUUUUUUUUUGAGAUGGAGUUUCACUCUUGUCGCCCAGGCUGGAGUACAAUGGCGUGAUCUCAGCUCACUGCAACCUCCACCUCCUGGGUUCAAGCAGUUCUCAUGACUCAGCCUCCCAAGUACCUGGGAUUAAAGGCACGUGCCACCACACCUGGCUAAUUUUUGUAUUUUUAGUAGAGACGGGGUUUCACCAUAUUGGCCAGGCUGGUCUUGAGCUCCUCCCCUCAGGUGAUCCACCCACCUCAACCUCCCGAAGUGCUGGGAUUACAGGUGUGAGCCACCACGACCAGGCCGGGAGGGCUUUCUAGAGAGUAUAGGAGCCUCAAAGAAAGAUAGGAGCUGGCUAGGAAGAAAAUAGGGAAAAGAAAACUCCAAGUCAAGGAGGAGCAUAUCAAGAAUAAAAGAAAGUCAGCCGGGCAUGGUGGCUCACACCUGUAAUCUCAGCACUUUGGGAGCCCAAGGUGGGUGGAUCACAAGGUCAGGAGUUCAAGACCAGCCUGGCCAACAUAGUGAAACCUCUUCUCUACUAAAAAUACAAAAAUUAGCCAGGUGUGGUGGCACGUGCCUGUAGUCCCAGCUAUGAUACUCAGGAGGCUGAAGCAGGAGAAUACCUUGAACCUGGCAAGCAGAGGUUGCAGUGAGCCGAGACCACGCCAUUGCACUCCAGCCUGGGUGACAGAGUGAGACUCCAUCUCAAAAAAAAAGAAUAUCACGCCUGUAAUCCCAGCACUUUGGGAGGCCGAGGCGGGUGGAUCACGAGGUCAGGAGAUCGAGACCAUCCCGGCUAAAACGGUGAAACCCCGUCUCUACUAAAAAUACAAAAAAUUAGCCGGGCGUAGUGGCGGGCGCCUGUAGUCCCAGCUACUUGGGAGGCUGAGGCAGGAGAAUGGCGUGAACCCGGGAGGCGGAACUUGCAGUGAGCCGAGAUCCCGCCACUGCACUCCACCUCUAUCUCCCAGAAUCAAGGGAUUCUCCCGCCUCAGCUUCCUGAGUAGCCUGCAUGCCACCAUGCCCAGCUAUUUUUUUUAUUUUUAUUUUUAGUAGAGACAGAGUCUCACUAUGUUGCUCAGACUGGUCUCGAACUGCUGGGCUCAAGCAAUCCUUCUGCCUCAGCCUCCCAAAGUGCUUGGAUUACAGGGUGAGUUACCCUGCCCAGCUGACUUCUCUACAUUUGUGAAGUCACUAAAAUGACCUCAGCCUUGGUUUUCUCUAUAUAAUAGCAGAACUAGGAUCAAUCCAACCACUUACCUUCUACAUUCCUACAUGCAGGCUGCUGAGUACUGCUCCAGAAAAGAACACAACUGUGCCGACUGUCACCAAUCCAAUUCAUGUUUCUAAACUCAGCAGUUUUGUAAUCCUUUCACCCCUCCCAUUCCCCACAGCAGCUGGUUCUCAUGCCAUCUAUCCUGCCAUCAAAAUCUCCUUCCUUCAUAAUAGCCAAAAACUAGAAAUAUGUGUCCAUUAAUUGAUGAAUGGAUAAACAAAAUGUAGUAUAUCCAUACAACAGAGUAUUACCGGGCCACAAAAAGGAACGAAGUACUGAUAAAAACAACAAAUAGAAACAUUAUACUAAGUUGCCUGUAAUCCCAGCACUUUGGGAGGCCGAGGUGGGAGGAUCACUUGAGGCCAAGAGUUCAAGACCAGCCUGGCCAACAUGUCGAAACCUCGUUCGUCUCUACUGAAAAUACAAAAAUUACCCGGGUGUGGUGGCAGGCGCCUGUAAUCCCAACUACUCAGGAGGCUGAGGCACAAAAAUCACUUGAACCUGGGAGGUGAAGGCUGCAGUGAGGAGCCGAGAUUGUGCCACUAUACUUCAGCCUAGACGACACAGUGAGACUCUCAAAAAAAAAAGAAAGAAAGAAACAUUAUACUAAGUGAAAGAAGUCACACAAAAGGCCAUGUAUUUUAUGAUUCCAUUUAUAUGAAAUGUCCAAAGUAGGCAAAUCCACAGAGCUAGAAAGUAAACUAGUGGUUGCUAGGAUUGGGGGGUGGAAAGUGACUGUUAAUGGGUAUAGACUGUUUUGGGGGUGAUACUAGAAAUAAUAUAUGUAAAGUAACUAGCACAUAGAUAGCACACAUUUUUAUCUCAAUAAAGCUGUUAUUUAAAAACAAAAACAAGAAACAAGAUGGUGGAUCACACCUAGAGUCCCAGCUACUUGGGAGGCUGAGGGAGGAUCACUGGAGACCAGGAGUUCAAAUUCAGCACCUGGGAAACACAGCGAGACCCCAUGUAUUAAAAAAUAAACACAGGAGUUCAAGACCAGCCUGGGCAACAUAGUGAGACCUUGUCUCUACAAAAAAUUUAAAAAAUUAGCCAGGUAUGGUAGUGCAUGACUGUGGUCCCAGCUACUGAGGAGGCUGAAGUGGGAGGAUCUCUUGAACCCAGGAGAUCAAGGCUGCAGUAAGCCAUAAUCAUGCAACUGUACUCCAGCCUGGGCAACAGGGCAAGACCCUGUCUCAAAAAAAUAAGAACAGGCCAGGCACAGUGGCUCACGCCUGUAAUCCCAGCACUUUGGGAGGCCGAGGUGGGCGGAUCUCAAGGUCAGGAGUUCGAGACCAUCCUGCUUAACACGGUGAAACCCCGUCUCUACUAAAAAUACAAAAAAAUUAGCUGGGCGUGGUGGCGGACACCUGUAAUCCCAGCUACUUCGGAGGCUGAGGCAGAAGAAUGGCAUGAACCUGGAAGGCGGAGCUUGCAGUGAGCCGAGAACAUGCCACUGCACUCCAGCCUGGGCAACAGAGCGAGACUCCGUCUCAAAAAAAUUAGCCAGGCGUGGUGGCGCAUGUCUGAAAUCCCAGCUACUUGGGAGGCUGAGGCAGGAGAAUCGCUUGAAUCCAGGAGGUGGAGGUUGCAGUGAGCGGAGAUCGCACCACUGCACUCCAGCCUGGGCGACAAGAGCGAAACUCCAUCUCAAAAAUAAAUAAAUAAAUAAAUAAAUAAUAAAAAUAAAAAUAAACACACACAGAAACAAAAACCACCCUCCUCCUUAAGAGUUGACAUCAUUAACUCCAAUUCAUAAAGAAAACUGAAUCUACAAGUUACCUUCAAAAAAAAAAAAAAAAAAGUGCAGGCACGGUGCCUCACGCCUGUAAUCCCAGCACUUUGGGAGGCCAGGGAGCGGAUCACGAGGUCAGGAGAUGGAGACCAUCCUGACUAACACAGUGAAACCCCAUCUCUACUAAAAAUACAAAAAAUUGCGGGGCACAGUGGCUCACGCCUGUAAUCCCAGCACUUUGGGAGGCUGAGGCAGGCGGGUCACCUGAGGUUGGGAGUUCGAGACCAGCCUGACCAACAUGGAGAAACUCUGUCUCUAUUAAAAAAAAAAAAUACAAAAUUAGCCAGGCAUGGUGGCACAUGCUUGUAAUCCCAGCUACUCGGGAGGCUGAGGCAGGAGAAUUGCUUGAAUCUGGGAGGCGGAGGUUGCAGUGAGCCAAGAUGGCACCAUUGCACUUCAGCCUGGACAACAAGAGCAAAGCUCCAUCUCAAAAAAAAAUACAAAAAAUUAGCCGUGCAUGGUAGCACGCGCCUGUAGUCCUAGCUACUUGGGAGGCUGAGGCUGGAGAAUUGCUUGAACCCAGGAGGCAGAGGUUGCAGUGAGCCAAGAUUGCACCACUGCACUCCAGCCUGGGCAACAGAGUGAGACUCCAUCUCAAAAACAAACAAACAAACAAACAAAAAAACUCCUUGGUUGUUGAAGGUAGCUUGGUAAUUUAAAACAACAACAACAACAACAACAUUAAGUUUGUUGCUUUGUAAAGACUUGAUAAUGUUUUUUUAAAACUGUUUUAGGCCGGGGGCAGUGGCUCACACCUGUAACCCCAGCACUUUGGGAGGCCAAGGCGGGCGGAUCACUUGAGCUCAGGAGUUCAAGACCAGCCUGGCCAACAUGGUGAAACCCUGUCUCUACUAAAAAUACAAAAAUUAGCUGGGCAUGGUAGUAGUCCCAGCUGUAGUCCCAGCUAUUCAGGAGGCUGAGGCACAAGAAUCCCUUGAACCUAGGACUGGAGGUUGCAGUGAGCUGAGAUCAUGCCACUGCAUUCCAGCCUAGGUGACAGAGCUAGAUUCUGUUUAAAAAAUACUGCUUUAAUAGUAUGUAUCGGCAAGAAAAAUGCAAAAUAUUAGGGAAAAGAUCUAAAAAAAUAUAAACCCCAGUUGAUGUUUUGCUCUUAGAUUGCUUUUUUAGCCUAAGUAAAGAUUUGCCUUGCUUUAAAGAAACUGUGCCUUUUGGUUACAGUUUAUUACAAGAUAGCCAAGGUCCUUGUAAUAAUAAGUGGACUAAUAAAGAGAAGGUGAAUUUUAAUGUAUGUUUAUAUAUUUUAGUUAAAAUAAAAUGUAGGUCUUUUGUGUAUUUUUAUUUUAUUUAUUUAUUUAUUUAGAGAUGGAGUUUCGCUCUUGUUGCCCAGGCUGGAGUGCAAUGGCACGAUCUCCACUCACUGCAACCUCCACCUGCUGGGUUUAAGCGAUUCUCCUGCCUCAGCCUUCCGAGUAGCUGGGAUUACAGGCAUGCACCACCACGCCCAGGUAAUUUUUUGUAUUUUUAGUAGAAACAGGGCUUCACCAUGUUAGCCAGGCUGGUCUCAAACUCUUGACCUCAGGUGAUCCGCCCGCCACAGCCUCCUAAAGUGCUAGGAUCACAGGCGUGAGCUGCUGUGCCUGGCUUUUUUUUUUUUUUUUUUUUUUUUUUUUUUCGAGACAGAGUCUUGCUCAGUCAUCCAAGCUGGAAUGCGGUGGCACUAUCUGGUC
rnacentral:lncRNA from 1 species